AUGUAUGAAUUACUUGUCUUAUUCAUGUUGAUACAGCCUCAGUCCGUGGCGCAUCCGUGUGGGGGGACCCCAACAUACCCAGAAUCACAGAUAUUUUUCCCAACUAUUCAUGAACGUCCAGUUUCUUUUUCACCACCUCCUACCUGUCCACCGAAAGUAGCCAUUUCCCAGCGACGUAAGAGUACCUCCUUCCUGGAAGCUCAAACUCGCCACUUCCAACCCCUGCUGAGGACUGUUGGCCAAAAUCAUCUUCCACCUGGUGGCAGCCCAACUAACUGGACACCAGAGGCCAUAGUUAUGUUGGGUACUACAGCCAAUAGAGUAAAUAGAGAGCUAUGUGAGAUGCAGGUCCAACCUGUGUUUGAGACAACCCAGAUUUACAGUGACUAUAGACCUGGACUAGUACUGGCAGAAGAAGCUCACUAUUUUAUUCCUCAGGAAACAGUAUAUCUAGCUGGGGUGCAUUACCAGGCCCAUGCGGCAGGACAGUAUGAGGGUAUUUCAUACAACUCACCAGUACUGUCAAGUCCUAUGAAACAGAUAACUGAACAGAAGCCAGUGCCUGGGUGCCCUGCCUCAAGUUCUGUCUUUGAAUUUCCUUCUGGACAGGCUUUCCUAGUAGGACACCUUCAGAAUUUAAGAUUAGAUUCUGGACCAAGUCCAGCAUCACCCCUGUCUAGUAUUUCUGCGCCUAACAGUACAGAUGCUACACAUUUGAAAUUUCACCCUGUCUUUGUACCUCAUUCUGCACCAGCUGUGUUAACUCAUAGCAAUGAGAACAGAAGCAACUGUGUAUUUGAAUUUCAUGCUCAAACACCAAGUUCCUCUUCAGGAGAAGGAGGUGGGAUUUUACCUCAACGUGUUUACCGAAAUCGACAGGUUGCAGUGGACUCAAGUCAGGAAGAACUGUCUCCUCAGUCAGUUGGAUUACACUGCCACCUGCAGCCUGUUACUGAAGAACAGCGUAAUAACCAUACCCCAGAAUUGACCAUUUCUGUGGUAGAACCUAUGGGACAAAACUGGCCAGUAGGAAGCCCAGAAUAUUCCAGUGAUUCCUCUCAAAUUACUUCUUCAGAUAUCAGUGAUUUUCAAUCACCUCCCCCUACAGGGGGAACAGCUGCACCUUUUGGCUCUGACGUCUCAUUGCCCUAUAUUCGCCUGCCUCAGACAGUGUUACAAGAAUCCCCACUAUUCUUCUGUUUCCCCCAAGGAACCACAUCUCAGCAGGUCUUAUCUGCUUCAUAUUCUUCAGGAGGAUCUGCACUCCAUCCACAGGUUAUAGGAAAACUUUCACAAUUCUUUUAA
rnacentral:lncRNA from 1 species